rnacentral:rRNA from 1 species
GACGAACCGAGCGAACGUUGUUCGGAAUUACUGGGCGUAAAGGGCGCGUAGGCGGUGUGUCAAGUCAGGCGUGAAAGCCCCGGGCUCAACCUGGGAACCGCGCUUGAGACUGGCACGCUAGAGUUCGGGAGAGGAUGGUGGAAUUCCCAGUGUAGAGGUGAAAUGCGCAGAUAUCGGGGAAGAACACCCGUGGCUAAGGCGGCUCUCUAGUACGGUACUGACGCUGAGACGCGAAAGCGUGGGGAGCGAACAGG